ensembl:lincRNA Gm26767 predicted gene, 26767
GAUCCUUGUAAUUUACAAUUUUAUUAACAUUUCCACGAUUAUAUAAUUAAGAUGAACUGCAUCUUGCUCAUUUUUUUCCUUUGUAACAGGAAUCCAAAAUCUAGUGAUUGAAGCAGGUUUUACUUUUCUUGUGCAUGAGCGGUGGGUUGUCCAGAGGGUUGUGGUAGCUCCCCUAUGCUCCUGGCAUCCACAUUCCUUUCUUUCCAUUCAGUCCCAUAGCAUGUGCUUCUGACUGCCUUGUCACUACUGGCUGGGUAGCUUCAAGCAUGAUGGUCUCAUUCCAGACAAGAUGAAGUAGAGAGAACAAGACGUGGGCAGAGUGGAGAGAGGCACACUGGUCUUUAUCCAUUGUCAAAACCAAGGAGACAAACACACUGAGUAUGCAUCAUGCGUUUGAAAAGCGCAUAUGCAUGGACUUGGACAGCUACUACCAAGCUCUCCAACUGCUCUAGCCAAGGCUCAGUGAUUAGCAGCUGAAAAGCAAGAAUGAAAUCCAGUGAGUAGCAGCAUACAAAGAAUCAGCUUCAAAGACUAAACACCUAACCAAGAUAUGUCUGGUAUGUCCAGGCCAGAGCUGUUGGGAAGGUACAGGACCUAGAUAGGCUCAUCUACAUGUGAUGCCUCUGGAAAACUUCAAUUCCUACCCUAGUGCUCAAAAUAGGUACCAGACCAAAGAAAUCUACUUCACAGAGAUGGAGACAUCCCUGGGUCCAUCAGCAUGAUCGGACAGGUCUUAUCUAGCUAUUGCUGCCACCUAGUGGCCGUCUUCCUUUAAUGGAGGCCGAAAUCUAAAUGCUAAGCAUGGUAGGUUCCUUGAGGCCAGGAAACCACAGAGAAGCUGGCGAUCAACUUACAUUUGAGAAGGUUCAGGAAUGUGUUCUAAAGGAACUUGACUUGAAUUUCAUGUGUGUUUGAUUCUUCCUGCCUGCCUCACGAGGACCACCAUUUGUGAACUAGGAAUGUGGUCUGCUUGUCAAAUGGGCCACUUCAAAGGGAAGAGUGUGGGAAAUUGGAACUAUGACCACAGGCCUCUUGUAUCAUGUACCACACCUAAGCUUCUGGCAUUAAAGGUCUUUGCAAUGGUUUAACGAAGGUACAUGUGAAGACUUAGCACACAAGUAACACUCAAAAGUAGCAUAUACACACUGAAGAUGAAAGAUUAUGUGGUUCUUCUGCAAGGGGCAGAGUCACUCAGGGUCCUUUUGGGCCCUGCAAAAUUAGAGGCCCAGAUUUCCAAAGACCGAAGUAUUUCUGCAAAGGUAAGUGUCUAUUUGAAUUAUAAGAUUUGCCACAAUGGCUCUGUAUAUCUAGAAGCAGGAAGAGCCAUCGGUUUAGUCAAUGGAACUGACUGUCAUAAUUCAGUGAAAGAUUGGAACUUGGUUCUUAAAAUAACAGGUUGGAAUAUGAUGGUAUGUCAAAGAUCCACUUGUGGUUCUGGCCCACUUUCUAUGGCAACUAGACAGCAGACUCGUUUUCUAAAAGGGGUACAGUAACCAGAUACCAGUCCUUUCAGAUUUUUUUGGUUUUUUGGGAGGUUUGGGUUUCACUCAGUGCAGUGUCACUGAAACUCACAUUAAGAGCUAAGGGGAGGGCUGGUGAGAUGUUUCUCAUUUUCUUAGUGGACAGCUUUAUCACUUUUCUUUUUUCUAUUUAGGGAUUAAUUUGAUCAUUUCCUAGUUUCAAGUAGCAUUGAUUACAUGUUCUCCUCCUUAGUGUAAAAGUUGUUCUCUAUCCUUUGGGGCACAUUCUUUUCUGGAAGCUUUGAAACUUUUUACAUUGUUUUACUUCAAAAUUGUUUUCUGGACAAAUCUCAUUUCUUCUUUGAUUCAUGUGUUACUUAGAAGUAUGCUGUUUAACUUCAGCAUAUUGGUGAGGCUAUUCCAGGUAUCUUUCUACAUUCCUCUCUAAGGUUUCUUACAAAUUUAUUCUCACUUCCUGUCAUCCAACAUAUGGUCUACCUUGAAUACGCCAUAUUCAUUGUCUAGAGUGAUCUAGAAAUGCCAACUACAUCAAGUUGGUUGAAUGUUGCUUAUAAUAAGUAUGUAUUUAGUGAUGAGUGUGUGUGUGUGUGUGUGUGUGUGUGUGAGGAUGGUGUUGACACAUUCAACCUUUUAGAUUUCUGGAAGAUGUUUUUAUUCUUUUUAAAUAAGUUCUGAUGUGUAUGCAUGUUUGCUCACAUGUAUACUACAUACAUGUACACUACAUGUAUGUCUGUUGCCAUGAAGGCCAAAACAGGGUGUUGGAAUCCCUGCAAUUGAGUCACAGACUAGUCUUUCGUUGUUGUUUUGUUUUUUGAGACAAGGUAUCACUGUAUAGUCCUGGCCUCCAAUUCACAGAGAUCCUCUGCCUCCCAGUGCACCGCCAUGGCCCUUUAUAAGAGCAGUCAGGAGCUCCUAACUGCUGAGCCAUCUCUCCAGGCUGACAUUACUUCUACUAAGAGUUUAUCUAUAGAGAUAACUUGACAUCUACAUGAUAAGGUCCCACAUCAAUCUACAUGACCUAUACUGUGUUUUAUGCUCCCACAGGACAACACACACCUGGUCACAAGGGGAGUUUGGGACAAAGCUCUACAAGCCUGCAAAUCAGCAUUAACCACCUGUACUGCAGAAGUUUACAUGGGUGCCAUUCUGGAAAACUCACAUUAACUCACAAAAGCAAACAAGUGAGUGCAGACAGGAAUGGGACUAUCGUCCCACUACUGUUAUUUAUUCUCUCCUCUUCUCCUUGGUUGCUGUGCAUGCCCAAAUAAUGUAAUCAUUUUUUAAAGAGAGAGAAACUAUAGGGCAUGUACAAACUCAUGGCUACUGCACCCACCAUGCUGGACGAUGAACGAAUAACUGAGACCAGGAAGGAAAUUUUUUUAAAAAGUCCUAGAGAAAAAUGAAAAUACAACAUUCCAAAAUCCAUGGAAAAAUUAUGAAGGUGGUCUUAAGUGGGCAGUUUACAGCUAUUGGUGCCUCCAGUAAGAAGUUAAAGACAGCAAAUGAAUUUACUUAAUGAUACAACUUAGGGCCUUGGAAAAACAAAAACAAAUCAAAUCCCAAUCCCUCCAUGGGAAAAAAAUAGUGCCAUCAGGGAAGAAAUCAAUGAAAUAGAAACAAUAACAAAAUACUAGGAGUCAAUGAAACAAAAAUUUGGUUAAACAGCUAGAUGUAGUUGUUAAACCCUCAGCUAGACUAAAAGAAGAAAUAGGAAUUAAUUAUUAAGAAAGAAAGAAAGAAAGAAAGAAAGAAAGAAAGGAAGGAAGGAAGGAAGGAAGGAAGGAAGGAAGGAAGGAAGGAAGGAAGGAAGGAAGGAAGAAGACCGUUGGUAGUGGCCCACUCUGGAAGCAGAGGUAGGUAGGUGAUCCUCUGUGAGUUUAAGGCCAGCCUAAUCUACAAAGUGAGUUCCAGGACAGGUACGGUACACACAGAGAAAUUCUGUCUCAACAAAGCAAAAUAAAUUAGAAGAAAGGGGGGCCAUCACAACAGACACUGAUGAAGUGUAUAACAUCAUUAGGUCUUACCUUAAAAAGUAACACCCCACUAAGUUGGAAAAGCUGAAAGAAAUGGGUGAAUUUAUAGAUGCAUAUGGCCUACAAAAAUAACAUGAAGAUGAGCAAUUAUGAUUACAUUAGUAAUUCAAAAUCUAAAAACAAAAAAGCCCAGGUUAUCAGACUUUCCAGUGUUCCUCCAGUGUUCCUAGGCUAGAAAAGGAAGAGACAUUACCAAACUCCCUUACGAUGCUCCUAUUCGCCUGAUACCGAACCAAGAUGAAACAAAACUCUACAUCAAUUUCCCUGAUGAACAUAGACACAAAUAUUAUCAACAAGCUACUUGCAAACAGAAUUCAAAAAUACAUUUAAAAAGAUCAUUCACAACCAUGAAGCUAGUUUUAGUCCAGAGAUAGAGACUGUUUAAUAUACAUAUCAAUAAAUGUUAUUUAUGCCUUUCACGUUAAAGUCUCAAGUGCACUCAGAAUAAAAGGAACCUCAGUAUCGAAAAAGUUACACGACAAACCUGUAUUUUGUUAAUAUAAUCCAAAGGUGUCCAUUUUCUAUACUCUUAUUCAAUCAUACUAGAAGUCUUAAACUAAAGCCACAACCUAAGCAGACAAAUAAAAGAAAACCAGGAAAGAAGUCCAAACACCUCUAUUUGUAGAUGGUAUGAUUCUAUACACAAAAGAAUAUAAAGAAACUACCAAAAAAACUCUUAAAACUGUUGAACACAGGGCUGGAGAGAUGGCUCAGGGGUUAAGAGCACUGACUGCUCUUCCAGAGGUCCUGAGUUCAAUUCCCAGCAACCACAUGGCGGCUCACAACCAUCUGUAAAUGGAACCAGAUGCCCUCUUCUGCUGUGUCUGAAGACAGCUACAGUGGACUCAUAAAUAAAAUAAAUUCUCAAAUAUAAAAAUUGUUAAAAAUACAUUAAGAUGUGACUGACACAAAAUAUUCUUUUAAGCCGGUGGUGGUGGCACACGCU